rnacentral:rRNA from 1 species
UACGUAGGGGGCAAGCGUUGUCCGGAUUUAUUGGGCGUAAAGAGCGUGUAGGCGGCCAGACAGGUCCGUUGUGAAAACUCGAGGCUCAACCUCGAGACGUCGAUGGAAACCGUCUGGCUAGAGUCCGGAAGAGGAGAGUGGAAUUCCUGGUGUAGCGGUGAAAUGCGCAGAUAUCAGGAAGAACACCAAUGGCGAAGGCAGAUCUCUGGGCCGUAACUGACGCUGAGGAGCGAAAGCAUGGGGAGCGAACAGG